rnacentral:rRNA from 1 species
AUGGUUGUCGUCAGCUCGUGUCGUGAGAUGUUGGGUUAAGUCCCGCAACGAGCGCAACCCCUAUUGUUAGUUGCCAUCAUUCAGUUGGGCACUCUAGCGAGACUGCCGGUAAUAACCGGAGGAAGGUGGGGAUGACGUCAAAUCAUCAUGCCCCUUAUGACCUGGGCUACACACGUGCUACAAUGGUUGGUACAACGAGUUGCGAGUCGGUGACGGCGAGCUAAUCUCUUAAAGCCAAUCUCAGUUCGGAUUGUAGGCUGCAACUCGCCUACAUGAAGUCGGAAUCGCUAGUAAUCGCGGAUCAGCACGCCGCGGUGAAUACGUUCCCGGGCCUU